UACGUAGGGGGCUAGCGUUGUCCGGAAUCAUUGGGCGUAAAGCGCGUGUAGGCGGUCCGGUAAGUCCGCUGUGAAAGUCGGGGGCUCAACCCUCGAAUGCCGGUGGAUACUGUCGGGCUAGAGUGCGGAAGAGGCGAGUGGAAUUCCUGGUGUAGCGGUGAAAUGCGCAGAUAUCAGGAGGAACACCGGUGGCGAAGGCGGCAUCCUGGACCGAGAUCGACGCUGAGGCGCGAAAGCUAGGGGAGCAAACGGG
rnacentral:rRNA from 1 species